UGGGGAAUUUUGGACAAUGGGCGAAAGCCUGAUCCAGCCAUGCCGCGUGAGUGAAGAAGGCCUUCGGGUUGUAAAGCUCUUUCAGGUGGAAAGAAAACGCAUAGGUUAAUACCUUGUGCGGAUGACGGUACCAUCAGAAGAAGCACCGGCUAACUACGUGCCAGCAGCCGCGGUAAUACGUAGGGUGCAAGCGUUAAUCGGAAUUACUGGGCGUAAAGCGUGCGUAGGUGGUGGUUUAAGUCUGCUGUGAAAGCCCUGGGCUCAACCUGGGAAUUGCAGUGGAUACUGGAUCACUAGAGUGUGGUAGAGGGAUGCGGAAUUUCUGGUGUAGCAGUGAAAUGCGUAGAUAUGCGGAGGAACACCGAUGGCGAAGGCAAUCCCCUGGGCCUGUACUGACGCUCAUGCACGAAAGCGUGGGGAGCAAACA
rnacentral:rRNA from 1 species